GACGAACGCUGGCGGCGUGCUUAACACAUGCAAGUCGAACGGUAAGGCCCUUUCGGGGGUACACGAGUGGCGAACGGGUGCGUAGCACGUGGGUGAUCUGCCCUGCACUUUGGGAUAAGCCUGGGAAACUGGGUCUAAUACCGGAUAGGACUACGCGAUGCAUGUCGUGUGGUGGAAAGCUUUUGCGGUGUGGGAUGGGCCCGCGGCCUAUCAGCUUGUUGGUGGGGUGAUGGCCUACCAAGGCGACGACGGGUAGCCGGCCUGAGAGGGUGUCCGGCCACACUGGGACUGAGAUACGGCCCAGACUCCUACGGGAGGCAGCAGUGGGGAAUAUUGCACAAUGGGCGCAAGCCUGAUGCAGCGACGCCGCGUGGGGGAUGACGGCCUUCGGGUUGUAAACCCCUUUCAGCACAGACGAAGCGUAAGUGACGGUAUGUGCAGAAGAAGCACCGGCCAACUACGUG
rnacentral:rRNA from 1 species